GGAGUGACCAUGCAGGUACUAGGGAUGGAGGAGUGACCAUGUAGGUACUAGGGAUAGAGGAGUGACCAUGUAGGUACUAGGGAUAGAGGAGUGACCAUGUAGGUACUAGGGAUGGAGGAGAGACCAUGUAGGUACUAGGGAUGGAGGAGUGACCAUGUAGGUACUAGGGAUAGAGGAGUGACCAUGCAGGUACUAGGGAUAGAGGAGAGACCAUGCAGGUACUAGGG